UACAGAGGGUGCGAGCGUUAAUCGGAAUUACUGGGCGUAAAGCGCACGUAGUCGGCUUUGCAAGUCGGGUGUGAAAUCCCCGGGCUUAACCUGGGAACUGCAUUUGUGACUGCAUAGCUAGAGUACGGUAGAGGGGGAUGGAAUUCCGCGUGUAGCAGUGAAAUGCGUAGAUAUGCGGAGGAACACCGAUGGCGAAGGCAAUCCCCUGGACCUGUACUGACGCUCAUGCACGAAAGCGUGGGGAGCAAACAGG
rnacentral:rRNA from 1 species